rnacentral:rRNA from 1 species
UGCCUAAGGAUGAGUCGGCGGCUGAUUAGGUUGUUGGUGAGGUAAAGGCUCACCAAGCCGACGAUCAGUAGGGGCCUUGAGAGAGGGAGCCCCGAGAAGGGCACUGAGACACUGGCCCUAGCCCUACGGGGUGCAGCAGGCGCGAAACCUUUACAAUGCACGAAAGUGUGAUAAGGGAAUCCUAAGUGCUUAUACAUAGUAUAGGCUUUUGUCAUGAGUAAAUAUCAUGGCGAAUAAGUGGUGGGUAAGACGGGUGCCAGCCGCCGCGGUAACACCCGCGCCACAAGUGGCAAUCAGUAUUAUUGGGCCUAAAGCGUCCGUAGCAUGAUUAAUAAAUCUUCUGUGAAAUCGUAAAGCUUGACUUUACGGCGUGCAGAAGACACUAUUAAUCUAGGAACCGGGAGGAGUUAGGAGUAUUUUUGGGGGAGUGGUAAAAUAUGAUAAUCCCAGAAAGACUACCAGUGGCGAAGGCGCCUAACUAGAACGGAUUCGACUGUGAGGGACGAAAGCCAGGGGAGCGAACCGGAUUAGAUACCCGAGUAGUCCUGGCUGUAAACUCUGCGAGCUAGGUGUUACAUGCUCUCCGAGAGCAUGUAGUGUCGAAACGAAGGUAAUAAGCUCGCCGCCUGGGAAGUACGGUCGCAAGACUGAAACUUAAAGGAAUUGGCGGGGGAGCACCACAAGGGGUGCGGCGUGCGGUUUAAUCUAAUUCAACACAGAGAAUCUCACCAGAGGCGACGGCAGAAUGAAAGUCAGGCUAAAGACCUUACUUGACGAGCCGAGAGGUAGUGCAUGGCCGCCGUCAGCUCGUGCCGUAAGGUGUCCUGUUAAGUCAGGCAACGAGCGAGACCUGUACUUACAAUUGCUAACAGCUAUUACUAGGACUGAGCACACUGUGAGGACUGCCCUGGAAACAGGGAGGAAGGUGCAGGCUACGGUAGGUCUGUAUGCUCCGAAUCUUCUGGGCUACACGCGCGCAACAAUGAUAAGGACAAUGGGCUACGACUCCGUAAGGAGAAGUUAAACCUCGAAACCUUAUCCUAGUUCAGAUUGAGGUUUGCAACUCAACCUCAUGACGAUGGAAUCCCUAGUAAUCGUGGUUCAUCAGAUCACGGUGAAUAUGUCCCUGCUCCUUGCACACACCGCCCGUCAAACCAACCGAGCAGGGUUUAGGUGAGUCUUAGUUUUUUUGACUAGUCCGAACCUAAGCUCAGUGAGGUGGGUUAAGUCGUCACAAGGUA